GAUAACGUGUUGAGGAGAAGCUUUAUUGAUCAGUCGGAUUUAGCGAGCCUUGUAUUGGUGAAAGAAGGUAUCCUAGAUUAAUAAAAAUCAUCUCUGAGCGUAGUGAUUGAAAUUACAAUACAUAGUAAAUCACUUUGGGUGCACCCACUAUAGUGCUGACGAAUUGUUUUUUUAGUUCGAAUAGAGACUCACUUGUGAGUGAACAAAGGUGGUACCACGCGAAGGCGUCCUUUAG
rnacentral:ncRNA from 1 species